rnacentral:lncRNA from 1 species
UUAUAACCAUCUCCGCCGCACCCUUUCUUCUUUCAUCCAUCUCCGCCGCACCAUUUCCAUUUCCAUUAAAUAGUCGGGUUCCAUCUCCGCCGCACCCUUUCUUCUUUCAUCCAUCGACAUCUCGACCCUAAAGAUGACAUCUCUUAUUGAAUACCAAUAUAAGAGCUUUUAUUUUCAUUUUAUAUAAUUUGAUUUGUAUCAUAAUUUUCUUUACAUUUUUUUAAAAUCAUUGCUUGUUUUCAAGAGGACCAGUUUGGGAAUUUUUGGUUUAACUAAAUUUAUGGACAUAUAUGCUUUGAUUUUGUUGGUGUUAAUAUAACAUAUGUGUGUACUAACUCAUAUUGGUUUGAAAAAUGAAGAAAUUUGAUAUCAAAUACAUUUUUAGGAUUUUUUAUUUUCUACAAGCAUGUUCUAGCAUAGAAGCAGAAAUUGUAAUCGAUUUUUUGUUCCUUAUUUGACGUGUAAUUUUGAGGAUUUUAAGUUUUCUACUUGUUUUGUUGGUAUUAAAUGUUAGGUUUGAUGUUAUUCAACCAUCUCACACUAAAGAUGGAUUUUGCUAAUGGUUAUGGUUUUGGUGGAGACUUUCAUGGGGUUUCAAAGAUCUCAAGUGAUAAAGGGACCAUAUGUGCAAUAUUCAAAUUAUGUUUUAAAUGAAACAACUCCGGCAAAACACCUAAUUCUUCGGCCAUCUUCUCCGGUGACCUAAUUUUCCAUCUUUUUCCGGCCAUCUUCUCCGGUCAUCUUCUCCAGACCUAAGUUUACAACUUCACAUGAUCCAAAAGCUUCUUCCGGUCAUGUCAAAGAUCAAUCUGGAAAAAAAUAAUCGAGUUGGACAUGGAAGCUCGACACAUAGGGUUUCACCAUUUCAAAACAUUUCAAAAUCGCCCGCUUCCUUCCCUGCUUCUCUCUCUCUCUCUCUCUCGAUCGAUUCCAGAUCUGGAUCUGGAUCUAUGGUUUUCCUCCUUAAAAUUUCACCAGAUAUGAAGAUUCUGACCUCUCAGUUCUGAUUUAGGGUAUUUUUGGUGUUAUUGCUACCUUCGUCAAGGGUCAUGGUUUAAGGAAUGUGUCACGUUUCUUCUGAGAUUCCAGUCGGAAUCCGAGCCGAGAUAAUGGAUGCUCUAGGGUUUAUGAAGGUUUGAUGAACUCUGCUGCGUGUACCAGCGAUACACAAAGAUCCUCUUUAAAUGGCUUCCGGUAAGACGAUUAGGGUUCCGGCGUGCUGGACUGCCAUCUCUGUCAAAAAAGGUUCCUCAAAGAUAGUGGUUGUGGGUGGAAGACGAUGACACAAGCCUUGAAUCAAAUCCAUGUUUACUCGACCUCCAUAUUUUGAGGGUAAAAGUGAAGAUGACUUCUUUGACAGGACUUAAAGCAAGUUGAAGUUUGCAUCAGAUAAGGGAUGCGUUUAGAUGGUUGGCUGGAAAUCCUUCCCACAAACUGGAUAUAAUGGCUCAGUGUGGCUAACAGUAAGUCCUGCUGACCCUUCAGGCUCCAAUGAAUUUUACAAGAAGACAUUCAUCGAGUUUCUUGAUUCUUUUGCAUACCUUCACUUCACUGUUGAGGACAUAUGGAUACUAAAGCAAUUGGCGAAAAUGCAUCUUUGUUUCUCAUAAAGCAAGGCGCUAAAGCUCGCCUCAAGCACAACCUAUCACCGCCGUUGAAGACAGAUGUGCCCCUCUAAACGGUGGUGGAGGUCACACUUCUUGAUUACAUAUAUGCCCUUCUAAACGGUGGUAGAGGUCACACUUCAAGAACGGUAACCAAUAGUGCAGCUCAAAGCUUUUGUCAUCAGUUGGUCCAAAUGUGCCGAGAAUCUGCCAUGACUCAACGUUGCUCUUGUAGACGAUUUGUAGCAGCUCCUACAACAAACGGUGGUGGUUGGUGUCCAGACGCAUUUCUGGUGACUUCGGUUUAGGGUUCCGACAGUCUCAUUUUCUCUGUUUUGCUCCAUACACAGAGGGACCCAUUGAUGGGUAUUUAAUAUCAAAUCGUACAUACAGAGUUGCAGCAACAAAAAGGCCACUCCUUUUUAUUGGAACCGGUGAACAUAUGGAUGAAUUUGAACUAAUUGAGAUUAUGUGCAGCGAUUUAAUUUGGGAUUUUGUUUGUUGGGUAGAUAUUUAGGUCUACAUAGUUAAAAAUACCCCAAAGGAGGUAAUUCUAAUUUGCGCAAUUUAAGCGUUUAUUAAUUAAAGUUCCCUAUACAUUCUUCUAUUUUGUGCUGAUCAUGAUGGGUGUUUUAACGGAGCCAUGUGCUUGAUUUGAUUAAUCGUGGGGGGAACUUCAUCGUGGUCCGAGUCUUAGCCGACUUACAAAGGUUUAACACCAACAGAGAAGCUUUUGGAUUUGUUUCAUGGAAAAUUGGGACUAAAUGUUGACCCUAUAUUCGAUAAACUAGGCUACUAAGAUUUCAAGCUUUUGUC